rnacentral:lncRNA from 1 species
GUAGGGAUUGAGAGGGGUACUAUAGAAGAUAUCAAAUAAGCAGGAGGGCAUAUAGUUCCAGUAACAAUGAAAACCUAAGCAAACGGGAAAAGGCGAAUGACACGUCAGUCUUGUAAAGUGUUUCGAGCGAUGAAGUUGCGAUGGAAUUGCUCCUGUUGCAAUUCGGCUGAUUGAGCCAUUAGUUUUGAAUGUGCCGGUUCCUCCUUCCGGACACUACAAUGGCACAGUUGUUUUGUUUGGCAUUGCCGUUGAUGUAAACCAAGACGAUAGAGGUUGAUAUUGGAAUCAUUUGUGUUGGUA